rnacentral:rRNA from 1 species
GCGAGUGAAGCGGCAACAGCUCAAAUUUGAAAUCUGGCCCUAGUGGUCCGAAUUGUAAUUUGUAGAGGAUGCUUUUGGUGCGGUGCCUUCCGAGUUCCCUGGAACGGGACGCCGGAGAGGGUGAGAGCCCCGUACGGUUGGACACCUAGCCUCUGUAUAGCUCCUUCGACGAGUCGAGUAGUUUGGGAAUGCUGCUCUAAAUGGGAGGUAAAUUUCUUCUAAAGCUAAAUACCGGCCAGAGACCGAUAGCGCACAAGUAGAGUGAUCGAAAGAUGAAAAGCACUUUGAAAAGAGGGUUAAAUAGCACGUGAAAUUGUUGAAAGGGAAGCGUUUGCGACCAGACCUUUUCCGGGCGGAUCAUCCGGCGUUCUCGCCGGUGCACUUCGUCCGGUCUAGGCCAGCAUCGGUUUCCUUAGGGGGAUAAAGGCUUGGGGAACGUAGCUCUUUAGGGAGUGUUAUAGCCCCUUGCGUAAUACCCUUCGGGGGACCGAGGACCGCGCUCUGCAAGGAUGCUGGCGUAAUGGUCGUCAACGACCCGUCUUGAAACACGGACCAAGGAGUCGAACAUUUGUGCGAGUGUUUGGGUGUUAAACCCUUACGCGUAAUGAAAGUGAACGGAGGUGAGAGCCCUUACGGGUGCAUCAUCGACCGAUCCUGAUGUCUUCGGAUGGAUUUGAGUAAGAGCAUAACUGUUCGGACCCGAAAGAUGGUGAACUAUGCGUGGAUAGGGUGAAGCCAGAGGAAACUCUGGUGGAGGCUCGCAGCGGUUCUGACGUGCAAAUCGAUCGUCAAAUCUGCGCAUGGGGGCGAAAGACUUAUCGAACCAUCUAGUAGCUGGUUACCGCCGAAGUUUCCCUCAGGAUAGCAGUGUUGUCUUCAGUUUUAUGAGGUAAAGCGAAUGAUUAGGGACUCGGGGGCGCUAUAUUGCCUUCAUCCAUUCUCAAACUUUAAAUAUGUAAGAAGCCCUUGUUACUUAAGUGAACGUGGGCAUUCGAAUGUACCAACACUAGUGGGCCAUUUUUGGUAAGCAGAACUGGCGAUGCGGGAUGAACCGAACGCGGGGUUAAGGUGCCAGAGUGGACGCUCAUCAGACACCACAAAAGGUGUUAGUACAUCUNGACAGCAGGACUGUGGCCAUGGAAGUCGGAAUCAGCUAAGGACUGUGUAACAACUCACCUGCCGAAUGUACUAGCCCUGAAAAUGGAUGGCGCUCAAGCGUCUCACCCAUACCUCGCCCUUAGGGUAGAAACGAUGCCCUAAGGAGUAGGCGGCCGUGGGGGUCAG